GAUGAACGCUGGCGGUAGGCCUAACACAUGCAAGUCGAACGGCAGCACAGGAGAGCUUGCUCUCUGGGUGGCGAGUGGCGGACGGGUGAGGAAUACAUCGGAAUCUACCUUUUCGUGGGGGAUAACGUAGGGAAACUUACGCUAAUACCGCAUACGACCUACGGGUGAAAGUGGGGGACCGCAAGGCCUCACGCGAUUAGAUGAGCCGAUGUCCGAUUAGCUAGUUGGUGGGGUAAUGGCCCACCAAGGCGACGAUCGGUAGCUGGUCUGCGAGGAUGAUCAGCCACACUGGAACUGAGACACGGUCCAGACUCCUACGGGAGGCAGCAGUGGGGAAUAUUGGACAAUGGGCGCAAGCCUGAUCCAGCCAUACCGCGUGGGUGAAGAAGGCCUUCGGGUUGUAAAGCCCUUUUGUUGGGAAAGAAAUCCUGUCGAUUAAUACUCGGUGGGGAUGACGGUACCCAAAGAAUAAGCACCGGCUAACUUCGUGCCAGCCGCCGCAGUAAUAC
rnacentral:rRNA from 1 species